rnacentral:rRNA from 1 species
GGACGAACGCUGGCGGCGUGCCUAACACAUGCAAGUCGAGCGAGGAGAUUCCUUCGGGAUGAUCCUAGCGGCGGACGGGUGAGUAACACGUGGGCAACCUGCCUCAUAGAGAGGAAUAGCCUUCCGAAAGGGAGAUUAAUACCUCAUAACAUUGCAGUUUCGCAUGAAACAGCAAUUAAAGGAGCAAUCCGCUAUGAGAUGGGCCCGCGGCGCAUUAGCUAGUUGGUGAGGUAACGGCUCACCAAGGCGACGAUGCGUAGCCGACCUGAGAGGGUGGUCGGCCACAUUGGGACUGAGACACGGCCCAGACUCCUACGGGAGGCAGCAGUGGGGAAUAUUGCACAAUGGGGGAAACCCUGAUGCCAGCAACGCCGCGUGAGUGAUGACGGCCUUCGGGUUGUAAAGCUCUGUCUUCAGGGACGAUAAUGACGGUACCUGAGGAGGAAGCCACGGCUAACUACGUGCCAGCCGCCGC